AGCGAACGCUGGCGGCAGGCCUAACACAUGCAAGUCGAACGAACCCUUCGGGGUUAGUGGCGGACGGGUGAGUAACACGUGGGAACGUGCCUUUAGGUUCGGAAUAACUCAGGGAAACUUGUGCUAAUACCGAAUGUGCCCUUCGGGGGAAAGAUUUAUCGCCUUUAGAGCGGCCCGCGUCUGAUUAGCUAGUUGGUGAGGUAAUGGCUCACCAAGGCUAAGAUCAGUAGCUGGUCUGAGAGGAUGACCAGCCACAUUGGGACUGAGACGCGGCCCAAACUCCUACGGGAGGCAGCAGUGGGGAAUCUUGCGCAAUGGGCGAAAGCUUGACGCAGCCAUGCCGCGUGGAUGAUGAAGGUCUUAGGAUUGUAAAAUCCUUUCACCGGUGAAGAUAAUGACUGUAGCCGGAGAAGAAGCCCCGGCUAACUUCGUGCCAGCCGCCGCAGUAACAC
rnacentral:rRNA from 1 species